rnacentral:rRNA from 1 species
UACGUAGGGUGCGAGCGUUGUCCGGAAUUAUUGGGCGUAAAGGGCUCGUAGGCGGCCAACUAAGUCAGACGUGAAAUCCCUCGGCUUAACCGGGGAACUGCGUCUGAUACUGGAUGGCUUGAGAUUGGGAGAGGGAUGCGGAAUUCCAGGUGUAGCGGUGAAAAUGCGUAGAUAUCUGGAGGAACACCGGUGGCGAAGGCGGCAUCCUGGACCAACACGUGACGCUGAGGAGCGAAAGCCAGGGGAGCAAACGGGG